GAACAAAUAAAUUGUAAGUCGCUUUGGAUAAAAGCGUCUGCUAAAUGCAAUGUA
rfam:Larimichthys crocea isolate SSNF unplaced genomic scaffold scaffold429, whole genome shotgun sequence.